CCUAUGACGAUCUCACACAUCGUCAGAACUGCAACUAACAAUCUGACAUGGAGCUGUGGCCAUAGAGUUCUUCAAAUGGAAAAUUUGAUGUACUCUCUGCUUAGCUGUGCUCUACUUCAUGGCCCAGUCCCCUCUGAUACAGCCUCUGUGGAUUAUAAAAGAGUGUCUGGGGUUCGAUGGCAAAUGGAGCGAGGCGAGAGCUGGCUAGACCCUCUACCCGACACACAAGUACUGUACGCACACACAUGUACGUACACACACAGAAAGACAUACAUACUCUGCCCACUAUCCCCAUCCGGCAACCACAUCCACUGACUACAAACCCAUGCAGAGCAGAGGACUGUACUUUCCCAGAC